UACAGAGGGGGCAAGCGUUAUUCGGAAUUAUUGGGCGUAAAGGGCGCGUAGGCGGCUUGGCAAGUGGAAGGUGAAAUCCCUCGGCUUAACCGGGGAACUGCGUCCGAUACUGGUUGGCUUGAGUUUGGGAGAGGGUAGUGGAAUUCCCGGUGUAGUGGUGAAAUGCGUAGAUAUCGGGAGGAACACCAGUGGCGAAGGCGACUACCUGGCCUGUUCUUGACGCUGAGGCGCGAAAGCUAGGGGAGCAAACGGG
rnacentral:rRNA from 1 species